UAAAGAGCUCGUAGGCGGUUUGUCGCGUCUGCUGUGAAAAUCCGAGGCUCAACCUCGGACCUGCAGUGGGUACGGGCAAACUAGAGUGCGGUAGGGGAGAUUGGAAUUCCUGGUGUAGCGGUGGAAUGCGCAGAUAUCAGGAGGAACACCAAUGGCGAAGGCAGAUCUCUGGGCCGUAACUGACGCUGAGGAGCGAAAGCGUGGGGAGCGAACAGGAUUAGAUACCCUGGUAGUCCACGCCGUAAACGGUGGGAACUAGAUGUAGGGACCGUUCCACGGUUUCUGUGUCGCAGCUAACGCAUUAAGUUCCCCGCCUGGGGAGUACGGCCGCAAGGCUAAAACUCAAAGGAAUUGACGGGGGCCCGCACAAGCGGCGGAGCAUGCGGAUUAAUUCGAUGCAACGCGAAGAACCUUACCAAGGCUUGACAUAUAGAGGAAAAGUGUAGAAAUACACUCCCCGCAAGGUCUCUAUACAGGUGGUGCAUGGUUGUCGUCAGCUCGUGUCGUGAGAUGUUGGGUUAAGUCCCGCAACGAGCGCAACCCUCGUCCUAUGUUGCCAGCACGUAAUGGUGGGAACUCAUGGGAUACUGCCGGGGUCAACUCGGAGGAAGGUGGGGAUGACGUCAAAUCAUCAUGCCCCUUAUGUCUUGGGCUUCACGCAUGCUACAAUGGCCGGUACAGAGGGCAGCAAUACCGCAAGGUGGAGCGAAUCCCAAAAAGCCGGUCUCAGUUCGGAUUGAGGUCUGCAACUCGACCUCAUGAAGUCGGAGUCGCUAGUAAUCGCAAAUCAGCAACGUUGCGGUGAAUACGUUCCCGGGCCUUGUACACACCG
rnacentral:rRNA from 1 species